rnacentral:rRNA from 1 species
CAGUAGCCGCGGUAAUACGUAGGUGGCAAGCGUUGUCCGGAAUUAUUGGGCGUAAAGCGCGCGCAGGCGGAUCAGUCAGUCUGUCUUAAAAGUUCGGGGCUUAACCCCGUGAUGGGAUGGAAACUGCUGAUCUAGAGUAUCUGAGAGGAAAGUGGAAUUCCUAGUGUAGCGGUGAAAUGCGUAGAUAUUAGGAAGAACACCAGUGGCGAAGGCGACUUUCUGGACGAAAACUGACGCUGAGGCGCGAAAGCCAGGGGAGCGAACGGGAUUAGAUACCCCCGUAGUCCCUGUCUCUUAUACC